AGCUUGCUUUUUUGCUGACGAGUGGCGCACGGGUGCGUAACGCGUAUACAAUCUGCCUCUUACAGAGGGAUAGCCUUUAGAAAUGAAGAAUAAUACCUCAUAGUAUGUUUAUAUCGCAUGAUUUUAACAUUAAAGUUUCGGCGGUAAGAGAUGAGUAUGCGUUCUAUUAGCUAGAUGGUGUGGUAACGGCACACCAUGGCAACGAUAGAUAGGGGCCCUGAGAGGGGGAUCCCCCACACUGGUACUGAGACACGGACCAGACUCCUACGGGAGGCAGCAGUGAGGAAUAUUGGACAAUGGAGGGAACUCUGAUCCAGCCAUGCCGCGUGCAGGAAGACUGCCCUAUGGGUUGUAAACUGCUUUUAUAUAGGAAGAAACCUUUCUACGUGUAGAGAGCUGACGGUACUAUAAGAAUAAGGAUCGGCUAACUCCGUGCCAGCAGCCGCGGUAAUACGGAGGAUCCAAGCGUUAUCCGGAAUCAUUGGGUUUAAAGGGUCCGUAGGUUGAUAAUUAAGUCGGAGGUGAAAGUUUGCGGCUCAACCGUAAAAUUGCCUUUGAUACUGGUUAUCUUGAAUCAUUGUGAAGUGGUUAGAAUAUGUAGUGUAGCGGUGAAAUGCAUAGAUAUUACAUAGAAUACCAAUUGCGAAGGCAGAUCACUAACAAUGUAUUGACACUGAUGGACGAAAGCGUGGGGAGCGAACGGGAUUAGAUACCCCGGUAGUCCACGCCGUAAACGAUGGUCACUAGCUGUUCGGACUUCGGUCUGAGUGGCUAAGCGAAAGUGAUAAGUGACCCACCUGGGGAGUACGUUCGCAAGAAUGAAACUCAAAGGAAUUGACGGGGGCCCGCACAAGCGGUGGAGCAUGUGGUUUAAUUCGAUGAUACGCGAGGAACCUUACCAGGGCUUAAAUGCAG
rnacentral:rRNA from 1 species